UACGUAGGGGGCAAGCGUUGUCCGGAAUCAUUGGGCGUAAAGCGCGUGUAGGCGGUUACGUAAGUCUGCUGUGAAAGUCGGAGGCUCAACCUUCGAAAGCCGGUGGAUACUGCGUGACUAGAGCACGGAAGAGGAGAGUGGAAUUCCUGGUGUAGCGGUGAAAUGCGCAGAUAUCAGGAGGAACACCAACGGCAAAGGCAGCUCUCUGGGACGUUACCGAGCUGAGACGCGAAAGCGUGGGGAGCAAACAGG
rnacentral:rRNA from 1 species